rnacentral:rRNA from 1 species
GUACGGGAGGCAGCAGUAAGGAAUAUUCCACAAUGGGCGAAAGCCUGAUGGAGCGACGCCGCGUGAGGGAAGAAGGCCUUUGGGUCGUAAACCUCUUUUGUGGGGGAUGAUAAUGACAGUACCCCACGAAUAAGCCUCGGCUAACUACGUGCCAGCAGCCGCGGUAAUACGUAGGAGGCGAGCGUUGUCCGGAUUUACUGGGCGUAAAGCGCGCGCAGGCGGCACGCCAAGUACGUCGUGAAAUCUCCCUGCCUAACGGGGAGGGUGCGAUGUAAACUGGCGAGCUAGAGGACGGUAGAGGGGGGUAGAAUUGCUGGUGUAGCGGUGAAAUGCGUAGAGAUCAGCAGGAAUACCCGUGGCGAAGGCGGCCCCCUGGGCCGAACCUGACGCUGAGGCGCGAAGGCUAGGGGAGCGAACGGGAUUAGAUACCCCGGU